UUAAAAUUAGGUCGGAGGGUAUACACACAUUUACAUAUAUACGUACGUUUAAAUGAUGUAUGCAUACAUACACCCAACCCUCAUACACACGCACUAACCACAUGCAAAGUACAGAAGGCUAAAAAUAAUUUAUUGAAUGAAACGUUUCUUAUUCCUUUUUUCCCCAACCAGAAGCAGCUCUCCCCGUAGAUGAUGCCUCUCAUGGAGGAGUCUACGAACAGGGUUAUGUAAAAAUUAAAGGCGACGGACAGGUACAGGCACCCGGUAUUCCCGGAUAUCAACGCAAGGUAGACGAGGUGACCUGUGACCUUGAUCUAUUUUGUUAAUCACGAUGAUGGUGAUAACACGGCUCUGUGAAAUCGUUACAUUUGCAUACUUUAAAUCGGUUGAGUCACCAGAUUUUUCUUGGCAUUACGGCUCUCAUAACUUUUCAUUACGUAGGAGACUAUAGCCAACCGAAUUCAUAACAUUAUUCGAGAUUUUGGAGCCACGUGUUCCAUACUGUUCAGAAUAUGGCGAGACAGAUCGAACUAUUUAUGCUAACAAGUGAAGAAUAAGCUCCAAACCUACAUUGUAUCCCAGACAAACAAAUGACAUCAUAAUAAUGUUAUUGUGACAUGGGUUUCGAUUGAGGGGAGUCUUAUUACCCCCCAUCUCCCAACAAGAUACGGAAUAAAAUUAAUAUGUAUCAUGAGACAAGUAUGAUCAUGAUGAUAAGGAGGGAGUAGAAAAUGACGAUUACCAUGGUGGAAAAAAGUGAGGAUUAUCGUGUAUAUAUAUAUAUAUAU